AUACGGAGGGUGCAAGCGUUACUCGGAAUCACUGGGCGUAAAGGAUGCGUAGGCGGAUAAUCAAGUCAAAAGUGAAAUCCCACGGCUUAACCGUGGAACUGCUUUCGAAACUGGUUAUCUAGAAUAUGGAAGAGGCAGAUGGAAUUAGUGGUGUAGGGGUAAAAUCCGUAGAGAUCACUAGGAAUACCGAUUGCGAAGGCGAUCUGCUGGGGCAUUAUUGACGCUGAGGCAUGAAAGCGUGGGGAGCAAACAGGAUUAGAAACCCGAGUAGUCC
rnacentral:rRNA from 1 species